AAAGUUUACUUCUCAGGAAAGAGAGAAAACUUAAACUUUUGGUUAUUUUCGUCUGUUUUUCAAUUUCUUUAUUCUUCUAAGACACCGAGUUAAUCUGUUCUCUUGGCACUGAAGAUAAAGAAAGAGACUUUUGAUCAUUAAUUAUAUGUACCUGAUUCUACUUUUUCACUGAUUUUGAGUUAGCGGUGCAUUAUAUUUCAGUUUUCAGGAAUCUAUAGGAGGAG
rnacentral:misc_RNA from 1 species